GUCCCUGUAGAUCAACGCAGAUCACUCCAUUCCUACGUGGAAUCUGUGACCUCGAGUUAAUGGAGACACGGGCGUUCGAACCGCCCCGGGGACA